ensembl:lncRNA
GGCUUCUCUAUAAAAACCACAACCAAAGAACCCGCUCAGACUAACCACAUUACAGAAGGAGAACAGGGUGGACAGGAGAAGAGCAGAAGACAUGUCCUCGAGAAGGGACAGUGUGACAACACUGUCCUGUCUGCGACAGCAUCAGCAGAAGACGGUACGUGGAUGAGAAGAAGACAGCUUCUGUCCUGUAACUAAUCUCCCUGCUUGGAGAAACAGUCAAGCUGCAGUGGUGACGCGUUAUGACGGGAGGUUGAGUGACUGAGGUGCUGUGGUAUGUGGGCCAUGUGACCUGUUCUCUCCCUCCUUCUCAUGGUUACCGUGGUUACGACCCCUGACUGCCAGAGCAUCAGCACCUUGGCUUUAGACUGCUUACUGCUUUAAAAAAAAAAAAGUCUCACAGUUACAGUAACAGUCUACAGUCAUGGCUACUGAUGCCUGGCAACUCGCCGUGGCAACACUACCUGUCCAGGAGACAUCGCCCUGGAAGUGCUGCUAUGGAAACUAUAGUCUAGGUUAACUAACACCCUGAGCAUGGUAUAGUACAGAUGUGGACUUAAUUUGAUCAUCCUGUUGUUGCAGGUAUUUUCCUUCACAGGAGGAAAUGUAAAUGUGUAUUUGAGGUCUAAACAGCCUUCUCAAGUUUGUAAUUUCCACUUGAAAAUGUCAGACUUGAUUCGUCCAACGAAAAGAAUAUAUCGACCACUACAAAAAAAUGUCCAUUAAUUAUAAUCAACGUAACAAUUCACAUUUCCUGUUGCUGCAGGAUUAUUUUCAUGCUGUGUGAAACUGGUCAAAUUAAGAUACGGCCAUGUCUUGGUUAGUCUCUGGGAAUGUCCUCGUAGCAACUUUCCAGAGGACUCCACAACGCUCUCUUUCUCCUCUCUCUUUCUCCCCCAUGUAAUUCCUCUAUCUUCCUUGCUCUCUCUCUCUCUCUCUCCCCCAAACUCCCUCGUUCUCCUCUCUGUCUCGUGCCCCUGUGUGUGAGCCAGCCUGCAUGGGUCAGUAUUGGGGGAUUUCUACUCUGAUGUGCGCACGACGUUUCCACCCCACGAACCAAUCGGAC